rnacentral:rRNA from 1 species
GAUGAACGCUGGCGGCGUGCCUAGUACAUGCAAGUCGAGCGAACGGACGAGAAGCUUGCUUCUCUGAUGUUAGCGGCGGACGGGUGAGUAACACGUGGAUAACCUACCUAUAAGACUGGGAUAACUUCGGGAAACCGGAGCUAAUACCGGAUAAUAUUUUGAACCGCAUGGUUCAAAAGUGAAAGACGGUCUUGCUGUCACUUAUAGAUGGAUCCGCGCUGCAUUAGCUAGUUGGUAAGGUAACGGCUUACCAAGGCAACGAUGCAUAGCCGACCUGAGAGGGUGAUCGGCCACACUGGAACUGAGGCACGGUCCAGACUCCUACGGGAGGCAGCAGUAGGGAAUCUUCCGCAAUGGGCGAAAGCCUGACGGAGCAACGCCGCGUGAGUGAUGAAGGUCUUCGGAUCGUAAAACUCUGUUAUUAGGGAAGAACAUAUGUGUAAGUAACUGUGCACAUCUUGACGGUACCUAAUCAGAAAGCCACGGCUAACUACGUG